rnacentral:lncRNA from 1 species
AUGGCAGAGGAUCAAUUGGAUGAGGAAACGCAGAACCGAGGAAAAGCUGAGGAAAGUUUCAAUAGUGAAAUGGCAAUUUCAGAAACAGAACCAGUACCAAAUGUAGAGAAUACGUCUUCCACUGAAGGAGAGGAUUUAAAUAAGACUGAUGAAAAUAUACUAUUAGCAGAAGUUCCGGAAAAAUCUAAAUGGGAAUUAGAUGAAGAUUUACCGAUUACAGAAGAUAAAAUGAGUGUAACUCAAGAAAUUGAUGAAAAUACACAAGGUGAAGAUUCAAAAGCUAUCACCUCCGAGGUUUUGAUGCGCGCUGAAAAUGUUAUUUUCCAAAGAGGGGAUAGUAAUGCAAUACGCUCCAGUGGUGCACCUAGCAAUGGGUCCAGUAGCAAAAAGUCAAGCCCUGACACUGUCAAAGUACCUAAGGAAGAACAAGUCACUAAAACAAAAGAGGAACCAGUCCUCAAGAAGAAGGAGGAACCAAUUGUCAAGAAGAAAGAGGAACCAGUUCCUAGGAAAAAAGAAGAGCUAGCUCCCAAGAAAAAAGAUGAAUCAGCUCCUAAGAAAAAAGAGGAGCCAAUCUCCAAGAAAAGAGAGGAAGCGAUUCCCAAGAAAAAAGAGGAGCUGGUCCUCAAGAAAAAAGAAGAAUUAGUCAUUAAGAAAGAGAAAGUAAAAGAAGAACCCCUCGUGAGGAAAGAGGAAGGUGAACUGAAGCUAUCAAAACAGGUUAAAGCCGUUAGUCUUCCUGGUGAGAAGACAAGGAGCUCAAGGGAGACAAAGAAGACAGGCCCUUCUUUUAAUGUCACAUUGCCUGCAAAAUCACCCGUUAAAGAGGUGAAAAUUGUACACAUUGAACCAGAGCAUAGAAUUUCUGCCAAAGAUCGAUUAGGCCCUAAAACCGAUGGUAGUGAUGAAAGUCUUAGAGCAGCCAAGCAUCCAAAAACCUGGGGCUCAGAUCGCAAAUACCUAGAGCAGAGGAUAGUCAUCCACUCUGACCACUCUGGUCCAUUUUUAGACAAAUUACCACAACUGGAAAAGAAAGUUCACCAUCAUCAUAGCCAUGACAGGAAAAAAAUUAAAGAUCGCUCUAAAAGUAAGUCACCCUCUCGUCAUAAAUUGAAAAAAGAGAAAAAAUUAGCUCGAGAGGAAGCAAAGAAGCAGAAGCAUGCUGCUAAAGAAGCAGGAACCCGAGAAUUACAUAAAGAGCUCAGCAAUCCGAAGAUAGAAGUUGACCGAAAAAAAUCAAUAACCCUAGACGAGUCGACAUUUGAGCCCGAUUAUGAUGCUUUGUCACAUUCUGAGUCCGAGCUGGAGGUCCCUGGCGAGGAAAGGCUUUUAAUUCAUGAACCUAUGAUCAUUAAUGAGAGUGCGGAAGAAGCAGAAGAAGUAAUAUCAAAGAAACGAUCAAGAUCAAAGAGCGAUGAUGUAAGAGAAGCGCAAAGCAAAAGAGUUAAAGUAAUCGAGGUCGUGAAAGCUGCUUCCUCGGCAUCAUCUGAUUCUGAGUCGAGUAGUUCAAGUGAAUCGAGUGAAGAAGAGAAGGAGAAAAAGAAGAAAAAGAAAAAGAAGUCCAAGAAGAAACGCAAGCACAAAAAGAGGAAAGUAGAAGUAUCCUCAGAUUCAGAUGACUCAGAUGAUUCAUCUGACGAGUCCCUUGUUGAGACAAAGAAGAAGCACAAGAAAAAUAAGAAGAAAACUCAUAAGAAAAAAUCGAAAAAAAAGAAGGCUAAAAAAUAG